rnacentral:rRNA from 1 species
GUGGGGAAUUUUGGACAAUGGGCGAAAGCCUGAUCCAGCCAUGCCGCGUGUGUGAAGAAGGUCUUCGGAUUGUAAAGCACUUUAAGUUGGGAGGAAGGGCAGUAAGUUAAUACCUUGCUGUUUUGACGUUACCGACAGAAUAAGCACCGGCUAACUUCGUGCCAGCAGCCGCGGUAAUACGAAGGGUGCAAGCGUUAAUCGGAAUUACUGGGCGUAAAGCGCGCGUAGGUGGUUUUGUAAGUUGGAGGUGAAAUCCCCGGGCUCAACCUGGGAACUGCCUCCAAAACUGCAUGACUAGAGUACGGUAGAGGGUAGUGGAAUUUCCUGUGUAGCGGUGAAAUGCGUAGAUAUAGGAAGGAACACCAGUGGCGAAGGCGACUACCUGGACUGAUACUGACACUGAGGUGCGAAAGCGUGGGGAGCAAACAGGAUUAGAUACCCCGGUAGUCC